rnacentral:rRNA from 1 species
CAAUAGCGUAUAUUUAAGUUGUUGCAGUUAAAAAGCUCGUAGUCGGAUUUUGGCUGAGAACGAACGGUCCGCCGUUAGGUGUGCACUGUUUAGUCUCAGCUUCCUGGUGAGGAGGUGUGCUUCACGGCCACUUAGUCACCGUGGUUACUUUGAAAAAAUUAGAGUGUUCAAAGCGGGCUUACGCUUGAAUAUAUUAGCAUGGAAUAACACCAUAGGACUCCUGUCCUAUUUCGUUGGUCUCGGGACGGGAGUAAUGAUUAAGAGGAACAGUUGGGGGCAUUCGUAUUUCAUUGUCAGAGGUGAAAUUCUUGGAUUUAUGAAAGACGAACUUCUGCGAAAGCAUUUGCCAAGAAUGUUUUCAUUGA